rnacentral:rRNA from 1 species
CCCUACGGGGCGCAGCAGGCGCGAAAACUUUACAAUGCGGGAAACCGUGAUAAGGGAAUUCCGAGUGCCCGUAAAAUCGGGCUGUCCAUCUGUUUAAAUAACAGGUGAAGAAAGGGCCGGGCAAGACCGGUGCCAGCCGCCGCGGUAAUACCGGCGGCUCGAGUGGUGGCCACUAUUACUGGGCUUAAAGCGUUCGUAGCUGGUCUGUUAAGUCUCUGGGGAAAUCUACUGGCUUAACCAAUAGGCGUUUCAGGGAUACUACAUUGCUUGGGACUGGGAGAGGUAAGAGGUACUCAGGGGGUAGGAGUGAAAUCCUGUAAUCC